AAUUGGCAACACCUGCGACUGGAGUGUAACUGUAAAAUGGCGCCCGGUGAAAUCUGAGUGGAAAAUAAAAGGGAAUGUAAUAAAAGAGCACAGAGACAAUUUGUGACUCCAAUGCACAAGAAUAACGCUUCUACGGGCGUGUCCAUCCAAACAGUCAAGUUGGAAGGAAGAAGGUAAAGAGUAGCGAAAAGUAUGGAAGGUUUGUUUGAGGAGCUAGUGAGGCUGAAGGUCCACAGUGUCCCCAGUAUCGGAUGAAGGAGUUCCUGGAGUCCCUGUCCAACAAGCGCUCAGAGGCACUGCAGGAGUUCAACCAGCAGGCAGGUGUUAUCACUACAACCACCACCAUGGUUUACCAGCAGGGGGUCAACUGCAUCUACACAGACGGCAACGAGGUGGCUGGGUCACUGCUGGAACUGUCUGUCUGCAACAGCAGGUGCAGGUGUCCCAGCAGAAGGGGAUGUCAUGACAGCAGCAGCUCUCGCCCCAUAUGACCACUGCCGCAAGGCCAAGACAUAAUACAGCUUUGCGUUACUGGACUGAACAGACCUGGGAUGACCUCAUUAAGCUGGCUGGAGGCACAGUGAAUAAUGCUCAGGCCAUAGUGCCCUCCUUAACAACUAUCACCACAGUGGCAGUGAAUGACUUGCAGACCUUUGGCCCCUCUGACCAGGGUUGUGUUCAAUUGGAGCAAAUGGGAGAAAACACUUUGAAAAUGGAAGAGGUGCCACAUGAAUUUGUCAUUUAGGAACACUGACUUUGGUUUUCUGUUUGAAAAUGUUUUUUUCAAGCUAGGCUUAGUCAUGGUUGACAAACCACUUUUUACAUUGGUUUGUCAACCAUUGGUCUCAGCCAUUGGUCCAGCUAGGCAGGGUAGUAAUACUGUGCUGUCUACGGGACAGCCCCUCGGAAACACAGACACACUCACUAUCAACACUCUACCACACACGCAACAGACAGACGAUUAAACUUGGAAUUAGCCUAAAUCUCUCGACCAAUGGCUGAGACUAAUGGUGUUACAUUAAAAUAGAUGACGAUCUCGGCCUCACCUGUCGUAAGUGAAUGAUGGUGAUGAAAUAAUCUGGACCCCGUUUACGAGACACUGUGGUAAACUUUACCACUCAGUACUCGUCACACAGCACCUGGAGUAACAUGGUCUAACUAAUAGAAGUAGAGAAACGACUGCAUGCUGUGUUAGCGGAAUCAGAAUUCUUUAGGUAACAUUGAUAAAUAAGAUGUUUUAUCAAUGUUCAUAAGUAUGCUUAUGUGGGAAAAGUUACUUGGGCCCCAGAGAGGGGAGAGGUCAGGCUUGUCUUCUUAUGGGAAUGUGUCUAACUAUUACUUGUCCCCUCAGGUUGCCUUUCUCUUGAUUUAGUAUAUGUCCUAGGAGGCUCACUGUCUCUGAGCUUGUCCAGGAGGGGUUGUAUUUUUGUUGGGAGUGUCUAGUAUUGAUAUAUGCCAUUGGAUGAGGUAAAGUUUUGGUUCUAAGUGGUACCAAGAAUGAGAAGAACUUAGUUUAGGAGACCAAACUGAAUAAUUUAUAGCCAAUGCUGUCUGGCUAUGUGUGUCUUUGCUAUAAAUGAUCUGUUGCCAUUAUGUAAGCACUCUCAGAAUUCAUUUAUGGACACAAUUGAUCUGAGUCACAGGGCUAUGGUGAAGCUCAUAUAAUUAAAGAUGGACUUUAUGAUAACUCUGACUUGUGUGUGGUUUGCUCUCUCAUGAUUUGGUAAUACAGGAAAUUUCCACGACAAUGCACAGCAGGAAAUGUGACACUUCUGACACAUUUUGCUAGAUACACCCAUACUCUGUGCAGCACCCAAACCAAGUGGCAAGAAUAUGCUUAUGAAGAUUCUUCCUAAAUUCAUGGGCAGCAUUCUGAGCAAUGUGAAACCAGAAGAACUAUGCACGUCUAUUGGUCGAACUUGAUGCUGUGAAUGUAAUCAACAUAUUACCCAUGAAGAUUUUCUACAUUUUGAUUAUUGUUCAGUGUCCAAUCACCAUCAAAUCCAUCACUCACCAUGUC